rnacentral:lncRNA from 10 species
GCUCUAUUCCAGAAGCAGUCUGGAGCACAAAGAAUCCCUAAUCACUGACAUUAAGAAAGAAGAAAAAUAUUCCUAGGACGAUCCUGGAGAGCAAAGGUCAUCAGCAGUCACUUGACUUUCCUUGGAUUUCUCAACUGCAGUAGUCACAUGGUCUGCUGAAAAUGAAUUCUCUUUAUUUUCAUCUGAUUUCAAGGAAUUAUGGUUUUCAGUGAUUUCUUCAUUUGGAUCUAUUUUGAGACAGAGUAAUAGCAUUAAAACCCCCUUCUGAAUUAAUAAGGUAACAUGGGCUUAAAAUCACUCAAUUCACUAUUGGAUUCUUUGGAGCUGUUAAUCUGUUCAGUGAAAAGAACAAGAACUUUGGAACUCAAGAUUUAACUAUGGUUCCAUCACUGACCUUGGUAUUUUAUGGGUGCAAAGGAAAUUAUAUGUCAAAAGCAAUGGAGAGAAAACAUUUGAGAAAAUGGAAGAAGUGCUGAGACACUGGAGUCUACCCUGAAAGAUAAAGCUUCACCUGAGGAGAUCUGCAAAUUAGUAGCUUUUUGCCAGAAGGCAUUCUCCAGUCUAUGCA